GACGACGCUGGCGGCGUGCCUAAUACAUGCAAGUCGAGCGAGCGGCGGACAGGUGAGUAAUGUCUGGGAAACUGCCUGAUGGCUGGGGAUAACUACUGGAAACGGUAGCUAAUACCGCAUACCAUCAGAUUUGCCCAGGUGGGAUUAGCUAGUAGGUGGGGUAAUGGCUCACCUAGGGAACGAUCCAUAGCUGGCCUGAGAGGUUGACCAGCCACACGGGAACUGAGACACGGUCCAGACUCCUACGGGAGGCAGCAGUGGGGAAUAUUCGGCAAUGGACGAAAGCCUGACGGAGCCAUGCCGCGUGUGUGAAGAAGGCCUUCGGGUUGUAAAGCACUUUCAGCGGGGAGGCGUUACUCGCAGAGGAAGCACCGGCUAACUCCGUGCCAGCAGCCGCGGUAAUUC
rnacentral:rRNA from 1 species